rnacentral:rRNA from 1 species
UACAGAGGGUGCGAGCGUUGUCCGGAAUCACUGGGCGUAAAGGGCGCGUAGGUGGUGGGGUAAGCGUGUGGUGAAAGCUCGGGGCUCAACCCCGAGUCGGCCGUGCGAACUGCUCCACUUGAGCAUACGAGAGGCAGGCGGAAUUCCGGGUGUAGCGGUGGAAUGCGUAGAGAUCCGGAAGAACACCGGUGGCGAAGGCGGCCUGCUGGCGUAGUGGCUGACACUGAGGCGCGACAGCGUGGGGAGCAAACAGG